rnacentral:rRNA from 1 species
UACGUGGGGUGCGAGCGUUUGUUCGGAAUUACUGGGCGUAAAGCGUGUGCAGGCGGCCUGUUAAGUCCGAUGUGAAAUCCCUGGGCUCAACCCAGGAAUUGCAUUGGAAACUAGCGGGCUGGAGUUCGGGAGAGGGUAGUGGAAUUCCUGGUGUAGAGGUGAAAUUCGUAGAUAUCAGGAGGAACACCGGUGGCGAAGGCGGCUACCUGGACCGAUACUGACGCUGAUACACGAAAG